CCAAUCUCAUGCAUGAUUAAGUCAGAAGUUUGCCGUCAGCGGCUCAUAGAUCAGACCAAAGAGCAUCAACAUCUAUAAUGGUAACGAGAGGGCAGUCGUCUUGUUUUUGUUGUUCGAACCAACUUUACUAGUAGUUUUAGCAUCACUGGUGAGAUUAUAUUCUACUUUUUUUUCUGGAACAAGAAGAAUCUCCAAAGUCAAGAACUUGGGAAAUUCUUGGAAAAGAGAGUAAUGAUCUGAUCAAAAUCCCUCUGCAAUUCUCGAACUCAAUCAAGGUUCGGUUUUAAGUAUGUUAUAACUUGUGUUCUUGUUGUCAUUUAGCAUUCUCUUCAGGUCCAGAAGAAGGCAUUUGACAGGACAAUAACAGAACUGGAGCAAAAAGUUGCAAGAGCUGAAGUGAUAAAGCAGCUAGAAGAUCUGGUGAGAGAGAGGGAAGGCGUGGAGAGGAAGCUCUCAACAACGUUGGGAAGAGAUGAAACCGCGCUGCAAGGAUCCCUUCUGCCUUUGUCUGACAGAGUGAUAGGACAACAUGGAGAUGCAAACAAUGAGAGCAUCAUUGUGUUUCACACUGCUAGUGAUGUUUCAUCUGCAGACAGUAAGUAGUACUGAGUUUGAUCUUGGUGAAGCAUGGAGUUGCUGCGGCGGUGAUGAUGAUGAGGAGGAGGAGGAGGAGGAGGAGAUUGGCGAAGAAGAGUACGAGGCUAGUCCUUCGAGCUAGCAAGGAAGGAAUUUUGAGUUCCAAGUAUUUGAAGGCAACAUAAGAUCUCCUUGAGGAGGUAGUUAAUGGGCAAAGGAAUAAAAACGGGCUCUGCCUUGCUCCCAACGAUAUGAGACAGCUUCCAACUACUGUAUGUAUCAGACUGCAGUGGUCACCGGCGAUGUGUUGAAGCCGCCGGCGAUGGACAAACCGGAGUCGAGAGUAGCAGUAGUCACCGCAUGUAGCACCGAGCUCACUAGCUUAGAGAGGUAGGAAAUUCAGAGCUCAUUAGCAGCACCGAGCUCACUAACAUCUAAUAUAUGUUUUUUCUCUCUAAUUUCAUUCUAUUACAUGGCUAUUAUUUGUUGUUUGGCUCUAGCACUCUAACGCCAUUGAAACUAAUUGGAAGAACACCCAGCAUAUGAAUGGACGUUUUUACCCCUGCUUUUAA